rnacentral:rRNA from 1 species
AUGUCCUACGGGAGGCAGCAGUGGGGUUUCUUCGUUUGUGGAGGAACGUCUGAUGGAGCAACGCCGCGUGAGUGAAGAAGGGUUUCGGCACGUAAAGCUCUGUUGGUAGUGGAGAAAGAUAGAGGUAGUAACUGGCCUUUAUUUGACGGUAAUUACUUAGAAAGUCACGGCUAACUACGUGCCAGAAGCCGCGGUAAUACGUAGGUGGCAAGCGUUGUCCGGAUUUAUUGGGCGUAAAGCGAGUGCAGGCGG